rnacentral:rRNA from 1 species
AGUGAACGCUGGCGGUAGGCCUAACACAUGCAAGUCGAACGGCAGCACAGGAGAGCUUGCUCUCUCGGUGGCGAGUGGCGGACGGGUGAGGAAUACAUCGGAAUCUGCCCAGUCGUGGGGGAUAACGUAGGGAAACUUACGCUAAUACCGCAUACGACCUUCGGGUGAAAGAGGGGGAUCGCAAGACCUCUCGCGAUUGGAUGAGCCGAUGUCGGAUUAGCUAGUUAGCGGGGUAAUGGCCCACCAAGGCGACGAUCCGUAGCUGGUCUGAGAGGAUGAUCAGCCACACUGGAGCUUAGACACGGUCCAGACUCCUACGGGAGGCAGCAGUGGGGAAUAUUGGACAAUGGGCGCAAGCCUGAUCCAGCCAUACCGCGUGGGUGAAGAAGGCCUUCGGGUUGUAAAGCCCUUUUGUUGGGAAAGAAAUCUUUCAGGCUAAUACCCUGGGAGGAUGACGGUACCCAAAGAAUAAGCACCGGCUAACUUCGUG